CUGGCUCAGAACGAACGCUGGCGGCGCGCUUAAGCAUGCAAGUCGAACGGCAAGAGGUAGCAAUACCUCCUAGAGUGGCGGACUGGUGAGUAACACGUGGGUGACAUACCCUUCAGAUGGGGGAUAGCUAUUAGAAAUAGUAGAUAAUACCGAAUACGAGCACAGGGGUUAGAGAUCUGUGAGGAAAGGAGCUAAGGCUCCGCUGAAGGAAUGGCCUGCGGCCCAUUAGCUAGUUGGUGAGGUAAGAGCCCACCAAGGCGAUGAUGGGUAUCCGGCCUUAGAGGGUGAACGGACACAUUGGGACUGAGAUACGGCCCAGACUCCUACGGGAGGCAGCAGCUAAGAAUAUUCCGCAAUGGACGAAAGUCUGACGGAGCGACGCCGCGUGGAUGAAGAAGGCCGGAAGGUUGUAAAAUCCUUUUGAAACUGAAGAAUAAGCGUUGUAGGGAAUGACAGCGUGGUGACAGUAGGUUUUGAAUAAGCAACGGCUAAUUACGUGCCAGCCGCAGC
rnacentral:rRNA from 1 species